rnacentral:rRNA from 1 species
GACGAACGCUGGCGGCGUGCCUAAUACAUGCAAGUAGGACGCAGUUGCGAACGGGUGAGUAACGCGUAGGUAACUGCCUCUUAGAGGGGGAUAACUAUUGGAAACGAUAGCUAAUACCGCAUACUAGUAGAUGGACCUGCGUUGUAUUGGCUAGUAGGUAGGGUAAUGGCCUACCUAGGCGACGAUACAUAGCCGAGCUGAGAGGGUGAGCGGCCACCAUGGGACAGAGACACGGCCCAGACUCCUACGGGGUGCAGCAGGAGGGAAUCGUCGGCAAUGGGGGGAACCCUGACCGAGCAACGCCGAGUGAGUGAAGAAGGUUUUCGGAUGGUAAAGCUCUGUUGUUAUGGAAGCGGUACUUAACCAGAAAGGGACGGCUAACUACGUGCCAGCAGCCGCGGUAAUUC